GUUUUCAGCAGUAUCGGUAGCAGCACGUCUCAGAUGUUCCUCCACCGUCUAAUAAGGGAAUCCACCAGGACCAGAGGAUUCUUCUGAUGGUUCUCAAUCAUGUCACACACGCUGCUGAAACGCUUCACAGGCAGAAAAAUCAGAGUUUAGAGACUGACAGAUGACAACUUUCACCUCAUAUCUCCCAUUGAGAGAGUAUUGUUUGGUGGAAGCGAUGUAUCGGACAGGGAUGUUGUACACUCGACUGUUGUAAAACACCACCAGUGUGUAUGGCUGCUGCGCAUCUACACCAGAGCUUUUCCUCAGCAGAAAAGAGCCAUCCUAAAAUAAAGGUAG
ensembl:processed_transcript